GUGGCUUCAGUCUCUCUCUUCCUGGUAUAAUCACAUGACAUGGUGAGGUAAUAAUGCUGACCCCAGUACAGUGUGUGAAGUUGGUGUUUCUGUCAGUCUCUCACCAGACAGUCUGGGUCCAGUACAGUGUGUGAAGUUGGUGUUUCUGCCAGUCUCUCACCAGACAGUCUGGGUCCAGUACAGUGUGAAGGUGGGUUAUGGUUAGGGUCUCUCACCAGACAGUCUGGGUCCAGUACAGUGUGAAGGUGGGUUAUGGUUAGGGUCUCUCACCAGACAGUCUGGGUCCAGUACAGUGUGAAGGUGGGUUAUGGUUAGGGUCUCUCACCAGACAGUCUGGGUCCAGUACAGUGUGAAGGUGGGUUAUGGUUAGGGUCUCUCACCAGACAGUCUGGGUCCAGUACAGUGUGAAGGUGGGUUAUGGUUAGGGUCUCUCACCAGACAGUCUGGGUCCAGUACAGUGUGAAGGUGGGUUAUGGUUAGGAUCUCUCACCAGACAGUCUGGGUCCAGUACAGUGUGAAGGUGGGUUAUGGUUAGGGUCUCUCACCAGACAGUCUGGGUCCAGUACAGUGUGAAGGUGGGUUAUGGUUAGGGUCUCUCACCAGACAGUCUGGGUCCAGUACAGUGUGAAGGUGGGUUAUGGUUAGGAUCUCUCACCAGACAGUCUGGGUCCAGUACAGUGUGAAGGUGGGUUAUGGUUAGGAUCUCUCACCAGACAGUCUGGGUCCAGUACAGUGUGAAGGUGGGUUAUGGUUAGGGUCUCUCACCAGACAGUCUGGGUCCAGUACAGUGUGAAGGUGGGUUAUGGUUAGGGUCUCUCACCAGACAGUCUGGGUCCAGUACAGUGUGAAGGUGGGUU